rnacentral:rRNA from 1 species
UACGUAGGGCCUAGCGUUGUCCGGAUUUAUUGGGCGUAAAGAGCUCGUAGGCGGUUUGGUUAGUCAGGUGUGAAAUCUCCACGCUCAACGUGGAGGGCCACCUGAUACUGCCAUGACUUGAGUCCGGUAGGGAGUGUGGAAUCCGGUGUAGCGGUGAAAUGCGUAGAUAUCAGGAGGAACACCUGUGGCGAAAGCGGCUCACUGGACCACAACUGACGCUGAGGCGCGAAAGCUAGGGGAGCAAACAGG